rnacentral:rRNA from 1 species
UAGGGAAUUGUUCGCAAUGGGCGCAAGCCUGACGACGCAACGCCGCGUGGAGGAUGAAGACCUUCGGGUCGUAAACUCCUUUCGACCGAGAUGAAUACCUUCGGACUUAAUACGUCUGAAGGCUGACAGUAUCGAGGGAAGAAGCCCCGGCUAACUCCGUGCCAGCAGCCGCGGUAAUACGGGGGGGGCAAGCGUUGUUCGGAAUUACUGGGCGUAAAGGGUUCGUAGGUGGCCUGCUAAGUCAGACGUGAAAUCCCUCAGCUUAACUGGGGAACUGCGUCUGAGACUGGGAGGCUUGAGUGCAGGAGAGGAACGCGGAAUUCCAGGUGUAGCGGUGAAAUGCGUAGAUAUCUGGAGGAACACCGGUGGCGAAGGCGGCGUUCUGGACUGCAACUGACACUGAUGAACGAAAGCCAGGGGAGCAAACGG